rnacentral:tRNA from 1 species
UCCUUGGUGGCUCAGUGGUAAAGAAUCUGCCUGCAAUGCAGGAUAAGCAGGUUCAAUCCCUGGCUCAGGAA